rnacentral:rRNA from 1 species
AUGGAUGCAAGAAUGGAAGAAGUUGCCAUAAAGGAACAGGAGGGAAUGAAACAUCUAGCUGAACUUGCGAAGCAGGCUGCUAUCAUGGGAAACCUAGGUAACCUCUAUGUUGAGCGAUACUUGAACAAAACAUACAGAGUGCCUCAGCAAACAGGACUUCAAUGGGUCAUGAAGUAUUACGGUCGGCCUAGAUACUUUUAUAAAAUGUUUCGAAUGGGCACUGAUGUUUUCAUGGCACUUCAUGAUUUGCUUGUCUCUGCAUAUGGUUUGACAUCAACCACUAAUGUUUCAUCAAUUGAAUCACUGGCCAUGUUCUUAUGGAUUGUUGGAGGCCCUCAAUCAUUUUCUCAAGCUGAGAACCGUUUUGUACGGUCACUUUGGACAGUUCAUACAAAUUUUAAGGAAGUUUUGUUAUGUUUGCGCAAGUUAGAGAAAGAUAACAUCAAACCUACAGAUCCUACUUUUAUCCAUGAGCAUGAAAAGAUUAAGAAGAGCGUUUCUGGCCUCAUUUCAAAGGCGCUAUUGGUGCCAUAG